AAAGAUUGGCAGCAUCGGUAGGAUUGCCAAGUCUUCAUCAGAGAUUAUCCCAAACCGACAGGAAACUGAGACCUGGAAAGAUUAAGGGUCAUUUGCCUGCCCAGGCUCAAAAUUACAGUGGAGAUCCACAAAGCCUGGGAGGUCAGUAAGAUGCAAAGCAAGUACAAGAUAAGUACAAGAUGUUGCAUCCAACACGAAGUGGAGCCCUGAGCGGCCAUCUUCUCCAUUCAAACUAGAACUUACUCUGAAGGCUGAAAGCAAGCAAUGGCAUCCUCAGAAACACAAAUGACUUAGGAACCCCAUCUUAUCCUUUCUUACUCAUGUUACUUCCCUGUGUUAGUUAACCGUUUAUGCUGAAAAUGAUGACAUAGAAAGAAAGUGAAAGAGAGCAACCUAUGGUUCUUUUCCUUUCAGUUCUUCCUCACUCAUCAGUAAGCUGAAGACAGUGCUAAUAUAAUGUGUGCAUAACAAGAAAGGAAGUAAAAACAACCGGGUUUA